rnacentral:rRNA from 1 species
CCAAUAGCGUAUAUUAAAGUUGUUGCAGUUAAAAAGCUCGUAGUUGAAUUUCGGAAUCAAUGGAUCGGUCAUGCCAAUCGGUGUGUACUGGUUUGAUUGGUUCUCACCUUCUAAGGAACCGUGAUGUCAUUAAUUUGGUGUCGCGGGGAAUUAGGACUGUUACCUUGAAAAAAUUAGAGUGUUUAAAGCAAGCUCACGCUUGAAUACAUUAGCAUGGAAUAAUGAAAUAGGACAUUGUAUUCUAUUUUGUUGGUUUCUAGGAUCGAUGUAAUGAUUAAUAGGGAUAGUUGGGGGCAUUAGUAUUCAAUUGUCAGAGGUGAAAUUCUUGGAUUUAUUGAAGACUAACUACUGCGAAAGCAUUUGCCAAGGAUGUUUUCAUUAAUCAAGAACGAAAGUUAGGGGAUCGAAGACGAUCAGAUACCGUCGUAGUCUUAACCAUAAACUAUGCCGACUAGGGAUCGGAUGAUGUUAAUUUUAUAAUGACUCAUUCGGCACCUUACG